rnacentral:rRNA from 1 species
GACGAACGCUGGCGGCGUGCUUAACACAUGCAAGUCGAACGGAGUGGCGAACGGGUGAGUAACACGUGGGUGAACUGCCCUGCAAUUCGGGAUAAGCCCGGGAAACUGGGUCUAAUACCGGAUAGUGUGGGAUGGUCCCGCGGCCUAUCAGCUUGUUGGUGGGGUAAUGUCCUACCAAGGCGGCGACGGGUAGCCGGCCUGUGGGGGUGGACGGCCACAUUGGGACUGAGACACGGACCAGGCUGCUACGGGAGGCAGCAGUGGUGAAUAUUGCACAAUGGGCUGAAGCCUGAUGCAGCGACGCCGCGUGGGGGAUGACGUCCUUCGGGUUGUAAACUCCUUUUGCCAUCGACGCGGUAGAUGGAGAAGAAGCACCGGCUAACUACGUGCCAGCAGCCGCGGUAAUUC